CUUCAAUGUUCUUGAAGUGUAUUUGAGGGGGAAAUGAAAGAUAUUUACUUUACAAUCAUCAAAUGAACAAGAACUGUUAAACUGGUAAGCAUCUUCCCAUUGAUUAUUUAUUUGACUUUUGAUUUCUCAUAGGUUUUUUUCCCAAAUUUCUCAGGUUCGAGAUUUGUUGGGAAAAGUUAUCUCAGGUGAAGCUGUUAUAGAUAUUGCUUCAAAGAAAGGCCUUCAAGUAAAGGCAUUGUUUUACAUCUUAAGACAAUAUCUCAAGUCUUUAUGUUUCCUCUUGAACCCAUUGAUUUGUAAUGUUAUAAUGAAGUUGAGUCUUAUUUUGACAUUUGUUUGUAGGGAUUGUUUUCUGCAAGUUGUUUGAUUGGAUUUGGGGGAUUUUAAGGGAAAAGUUGGAAGGAAGAAGAAGCAAACUGUGAAGAUGGAGAAAUGGACUGGAUGUAUAAUUCGUGGAAUCAUUUUGUGAUUAAGGUUUUUUAAUAUAAUUUAUGGUUGCUGAUGAAUGAGGUUAUACAGUGGCUAGAAUGCUUAAUUUUAUUCCAUUUUUUGUUGUGUUUCCAUGGAAACAGAGUUGGGUAUUUUGUAGAAUCUCAUUUUUCUGUUAAUUUUUGCAGGCUAUGUUGGUUAUCAUUUUUGUUGGGAAAAGUUGUCUCAGGAAGAAGUUUAGCUUUAACCGGGUUGUCAUAUGAUGUCAAAGAAUAUGCAUUUUAUGGUUUCAUUUAAUUUUGCCUUUUUCUUUGAUCGGGUAAUAGAGAGAUGAUUGUAUAUGGUUCUUGUGUGUAGGUUUAUAAUUAUUUGUUUUAUGAUGAUAUGUUUUGUGAUAUAGAUGAACAAAAAGCAAAAUUAUUUUUGUAUGUUUAGUUUCUAUUUUCAAGGAUCAUGUAUAUGAUGAUGUGAAUCAAUUUGGUUAUUGUGAAUAAGUUCUUGGGUUGUUUUAUUAAUAAUGUGCUAUUAGAAGAGUAACUUGAAAUCUGAUCUUUGUGUUCCUGGUUUUAGCAUUUGUAAACAACGGGAAGAAAGAGACUCUAUUUGUUGAAGAGCAAGGUAUAAACAAUUGGCCAACUUAUGAAACAACUUAUUCAAAACGGAUUUUUUUAGCCUGAAAUUAGUGUUUUCUUUUUUUGUUUUCUGCACCAAGUCGUCUAAGGUG